UAAGCCGUAGUGGCGGUCCUCAGUCCUCGACCAGAAACAAAAGGGAAAGGAAAAGGAAAAACUGAAAAUUAAGAAAAAUGACAAAUUAUCAGCACAUUAUUGGCUGAAGUGAUGCGUACGGUUACACGCGCCGCCGCAGUGAAUGGUCAAAACAUCUUGGCGGUCAUAACUACAUUAAUUGAAGUAAUUCUGCGUGCAGUUGAAAAACAUAGAAAGAGAAGACCAAUGAAAUGAUCCACAACCAGAAGAGAGAGAGAAAGCGCAAUAAGCUACAAGCGUACAGAGAAUAACGACGAGUAGAGAGAGAGAGAAAUCGCAAAAAGGCGGCUUCUUCAGCUCACAGUUUCUUCAUUUUAGCUACAAUUUUGUUGAUAGGUAAUCAAGGCCACAAGCGAUUGUAGCUGUAGAUCCAUUCAAUCAAUUCUUCCAUAAAUAUGUGUAGCGAGGGGGCGAGAGAAGAGAGUCAACUUGGAUAUAGAGAAUAUUAGCUCGGUGGAAUUUUGAUUUUUAUUUUUGAAAGUCGAAUUGCAAUGGAAAAUACAACAGCAUCAGCUGAGCCGCCGUCACAGAUACCGCCAGCGGAGGAGCUGCUAAAGAAGAUCCAUGAGCUGGAGGCAGGGCAUGCGCGCUUGAAAGAGGAGAUGUCGAAGCUCAUGGUUUCGAGCGAUUACAGAUCAGAGAGACAAAGGUCACACUCUAUCUCCCCGCAACGGCCGCGGCGGUUAAAGCUUGGGGGCGGCGGAAAGCAUAGUGGAUUUGAGGGUGGCGCUAUGGCUGUGUGGAAAAGGGGUUCUGCCUCAUUUCGACAUUCUUCUCCGCUGCAGAGGGAGAGUAGUAGUAAAGACGUGCAUAGAGGCGAUGACGGCGGCGGCGGCGACGAAAGCUGUGGUGUCGGAGGUCCAGCUUCUGUGAAAUUUAGUGACAGACAUUAUUUGAAUAUAUUGCAGUCAAUGGGCCAAUCAGUGCAUAUACUUGAUCGUAGUUCUCGAAUAAUUUACUGGAAUCGAAUGGCUGAACACCUGUAUGGUUAUUCAGCUGCAGAGGCUCUGGGGCAAAGUAUCAUGGACCUCCUAGUGGAUCCUCGAGAUUUUAAUAUGGCUGGUGAUAUUAUUAGUCGUGUGUGUGUGGGUGAGAGUUGGACUGGGCAGUUCCCAGUGAAGAAUAAGCUAGGGAUUAGAUUUUCUGUAAUGACAACCAAUACCCCUUUCUAUGAUGAUGAUGGUACUUUGAUUGGGCUGAUAUGCGUGUCAGUAGAUGUAAAACCAUUUCAAGAAGCAAAGGCAGCAUUCACUGUGGCAAAGCAGAUGGAUUCUGAUUCAAGUUCUAGCAGGGCAAGAAGCAUUGCUUCUGAAAAACUUGGGCUUGAUCCUCAACAGCCUUUGCAAGUUGCAAUUGCCUCAAAACUAUCCAAUUUGGCUUCAAAAGUGAGCAACAAGGUUAAGUCAAAAAUAAAAACUGUGGAGAGCGGUGUGGUUCGUGAAGGUGGAAGUGGAGAUAGUCAUCAAUCCAAUCAUGUUUUCUCUGAUUCUGCUUUGUCAGAUCACAGAGAGGAUGCAACUUCGAGUGGAGCUAGUACUCCAAGAGGAGAUAUACAUCCUUCUCCAUUUGGAGUGUUCUCUAAUGCUUCCAAGGAGGACUCCCCUGAAAAAUACUCCAGAGAUUCUGGGGAUGAGAGUGAGGGUAAACCUAGGAUCUCCAAGAUAAUUACUUCAAAGGCAGAAGCAUGGAUUCAAAAGAGGACUUUAUCUUGGCCAUGGAAAGGAAAUGAACAAGAAGGAUCUGAGGCACGAAAUACUCGUUUUGGCUGGCCCUGGUUACAUAAUGACCAAGACAAUGAUUAUAGUCAGCCUCAAAAUAGUUCUAAUCUGGCAAUAAAGCCAGAAAGUCAAAUCGGUGAAAUUAAUCGCACCACCGUGAAUGAGGCUUCAGGAUCAUGGUCAUCAUCAUUUAAUGUUAAUAGCACAAGCAGUGCGAGUAGCGCUGGAAGUACCAGCAGUAGUGCUCUUAAUAAAGUUGACAUCGAUACUGAUUGCUUGGACUAUGAGAUUUUAUGGGAGGAUUUAACAAUUGGGGAACAUAUUGGUCAAGGUUCAUGUGGAAAUGUUUAUCAUGCUCUGUGGUAUGGAUCAGAUGUUGCUGUUAAAGUAUUUUCCAAGCAAGAAUAUUCUGAUGAUAUUAUUUUUUCCUUCAGACAGGAGGUGUCACUAAUGAAAAGACUUCGACAUCCAAAUAUUCUGCUUUUCAUGGGUGCAGUAACUUCUCCUCAGCGUCUCUGCAUUGUUACCGAGUUCCUCCCAAGAGGAAGUUUAUUUAGGUUACUUCAGAGGAAUACAUCCAAAUUAGAUUGGAGACGGCGUGUUCACAUGGCUUUAGAUAUAGCACGAGGGAUGAAUUAUCUCCAUCAUCUCAGCCCACCACUUGUUCACCGUGAUUUGAAGUCUUCAAAUCUUCUUGUUGACAAGAACUGGACUGUGAAGGUGGGGGACUUUGGAUUGUCAAGGGUCAAACAUGAAACAUAUCUGACAACAAAGACGGGUAAAGGAACGCCUCAAUGGAUGGCUCCGGAAGUUCUUCGCAAUGAGCCUUCAGAUGAGAAGGCUGAUGUGUACAGUUUUGGGGUGAUAUUGUGGGAAAUUGCCACUGAAAAGAUCCCUUGGGAAAACCUCAAUACGAUGCAGGUGAUUGGGGCAGUAGGAUUCAUGAACCAACGGCUAGAUAUUCCAAAGGAUGUGGAUCCACAGUGGGCUUCUAUAAUCGGGAGCUGCUGGCAUAGCGAGCCACAGUGUCGUCCAUCCUUCCAGGAAUUGGUGGAUAAGUUUAAAGAUCUGCAAAGGCAGUGUGCUAUUCAGAUUCAAGCAGCUCGCAAUGCUGCAAUGGAGAGUAGCCAAAAGGAGUGAUAGAUGAAAUUGGUGUGUGUUUAUGUUAAAGUUGAGCAACGAUAUUGCGACAGAUGAACUGAGUGGUUCUCAAAGUUUGCAGUGUCAGUGGAUGGCGGAUGGCUGGCAUGGCCGCCAUUAAUUGAAAGCAAAAUUUGCUUGUGUUGUCGGAAUGAACAAACGAACGAAAAAUUGAAGGCAUAUGCCUAAUUGGUGUUUGCCAAUGCAGGGAAAUUAGAGUGACACAUACAGGGCAAAACCAGCUAUCUCAAAUGAGUUGAUGAAUUGAGUGAGUGGUGGCCUAUUAUUAUUAUUAUUAUUAUUAGUAUUAGUAUUAGUAUUUAUUUGUGGGAGUGAAUUCAUGUUCUGGAUGCUUGCAGCUUUUAUACGGAGUAGUAUGGAAUCAUUCAGAACCUCUGUAAAUCCUACAUUCUACUAUUCGAUCUAGUCCAACCGGCCGGCCAUUUGCAUUUGCAGUUGAGUAGUUUUGACCAUUUGGCGGUGGCAGAUCGACGGUUUUUGAGAUGGAAUUUAUUAAAGAAAGCAGAAGUGCCAAGAAGCGUAGUAGGUAGCUUUCUUUGUAUUCAAUGACCACCUUAUCAUCCACUCUAUCCUUCUACUUCAACACUAUAUAUGUAAUGUAGUUGUGAAUAUAGAUGGAUGGAUAGAUAGGGGAGGUAGCUAGUAUAGGCUGCGCAACUGCAAUUUCUAUCUACAUAAUAAAUGGUAUGUUGCUAAUCCAA